rnacentral:rRNA from 1 species
GACUGACGACUGACGACUGACAACGGGGAGGCUUGUUGUGAGUUAUGAGUUGUAGGUUGUAGGUUGGCCGGUAUCGUGCGAAGCGCGAUGCGGCCAUGGCAAACGGGUUAGGAACACGUAGGAAUCUUCCUCGAAGUCGCGAAUAACCCGGAGAAAUCCGGGAUAAUACGCGAUGUGCUCUACGGAGUAAAGAUUUAUCGCUUCGAGAGGAGCCUGCGUCCUAUCAGCUAGUUGGUGAGGUAAAGGCUUACCAAGGCUAUGACGGGUAGGGGGUGUGAGAGCAUGGCCCCCAACAUUGGCACUGAGACACUGGCCAAACACCUACGGGUGGCUGCAGUCGAGAAUAUUCCACAAUGGACGAAAGUCUGAUGGAGCGACGCCGCGUGCAGGAAGACGGUAUUCGUAUUGUAAACUGCUUUUCUCAGGGAAGAAUUUCGAUGACUGUACCUGAGGAAUAAGAGGUUACUAACUCUGUGUCCGUG